GAUGAACGCUAGCGGCAGGCCUAACACAUGCAAGUCGAGGGGUAGCAGGAUUAAGCUUGCUUAAUUGCUGACGACCGGCGCACGGGUGCGUAACGCGUAUGCAACCUACCUUAUACUGGGGUAUAGCCCGGAGAAAUUCGGAUUAAUCCCCCAUAGUACUAAUGAAUCGCAUGGUUUAUUAGUUAAAGCAUUGCGGUAUAAGAUGGGCAUGCGUCCUAUUAGCUAGAUGGUGAGGUAACGGCUCACCAUGGCUACGAUAGGUGGGGGGCCUGAGAGGGUUGUCCCCCACACUGGUACUGAGACACGGACCAGACUCCUACGGGAGGCAGCAGUGAGGAAUAUUGGUCAAUGGGCGCAAGCUUGAACCAGCCAUGCCGCGUGCAGGAAGAAUGCCCUAUGGGUUGUAAACUGCUUUUAUUUGGGAAUAAACCUCUUUACGUGUAGAGAGCUGAAGGUACCAAAUGAAUAAGCACCGGCUAACUCCGUGCCAGCCGCCGCAGUAA
rnacentral:rRNA from 1 species